rnacentral:ncRNA from 17 species
UGCGCCGGGCGCGGCGCGGGCGGCAGUGCGAUGCCGCCUGGGGAAAUGCGGGUGCGAAUCCCGCGCUAUACCAGUAACCGUAAAUGCCGUCGAAGGGCCACCUCGCAGGCGUGCGAGCCUUCGGAAUGGGCGAAGUCGGAAUACCCAUCUACCAUAUAGAGCCCUGG